CCUACGGGAGGCAGCAGUGGGGAAUAUUGGACAAUGGGCGAAAGCCUGAUCCAGCCAUGCCGCGUGUGUGAAGAAGGCCUUCGGGUUGUAAAGCACUUUCAGUGGGGAAGAAAGCCUUGGGGCUAAUACCCUCGAGGAAGGACAUCACCCACAGAAGAAGCACCGGCUAACUCCGUGCCAGCAGCCGCGGUAAUACGGAGGGUGCGAGCGUUAAUCGGAAUUACUGGGCGUAAAGCGCGCGUAGGCGGUCUGAUAAGCCGGUUGUGAAAGCCCCGGGCUCAACCUGGGAACGGCAUCCGGAACUGUCAGGCUAGAGUGCAGGAGAGGAAGGUAGAAUUCCCGGUGUAGCGGUGAAAUGCGUAGAGAUCGGGAGGAAUACCAGUGGCGAAGGCGGCCUUCUGGACUGACACUGACGCUGAGGUGCGAAAGCGUGGGUAGCAAACAGGAUUACAUACCCGUGUAGUC
rnacentral:rRNA from 1 species